ACGGGGCUCAGCCAUGAGCCGAAGCUUAGGAUGCACAUAGUGCAUGGUAGCAGAGCGUAGUGUGACAUAGUCUCAUGUCUCCUUAGUGUCUUCGGGCACAUUGGAGACGCGAGGCUUUCGAUGAAGCGGGCGCGUGAGCGAUCCCGUGGAGAGAUCACUAGCGAGAAUGAUGACAUGAGUAGCGACAAAGAGUGUGAGAGACACUCUCGCCGAAAGUCCAAGGGUUCCUGCUUAAAGCUAAUCUGAGCAGGGUAAGCCGGCCCCUAAGGCGAGGCCGAAAGGCGUAGCCGAUGGGAACUAGGUUAAUAUUCCUAGGCCAGGAGGAUGUGACGGAUUGUGAAGGUAGUUCAUCCUAUCGGAUUGAAUGGGCUGCUGAUCAGUCCCUGGAAAUAGCCCUCCAUGAGACCGUACCCUAAACCGACACAGGUGGACUGGUAGAGAAUACCAAGGCGCUUGAGAGAACGAUGUUGAAGGAACUCGGCAAAAUACCUCCGUAAGUUCGCGAGAAGGAGGCCCGGUUCCAAGGCAACUUGGAGCUGGGGGCACAAACCAGGGGGUGGCGACUGUUUAUUAAAAACACAGGGCUCUGCGAAGUCGCAAGACGACGUAUAGGGUCUGACGCCUGCCCGGUGCCUGAAGGUUAAAAGGAGGGGUGAGAGCUCCGAAUUGAAGCCCAGGUAAACGGCGGCCGUAACUAUAACGGUCCUAAGGUAGCGAAAUUCCUUGUCGGGUAAGUUCCGACCUGCACGAAUGGCGUAACGACUUCCCCGCUGUCUCCAACAUCGACUCAGCGAAAUUGAAUUGCCUGUCAAGAUGCAGGCUUCCCGCGGUUAGACGGAAAGACCCCGUGCACCUUUACUACAGCUUCGCACUGGUAUCAGGAUUGUGACGUGCAGGAUAGGUGGUAGGCAUCGAAGCGUGAACGCUAGUUCACGUGGAGCCUCCCUUGAGAUACCACCCUUCGCACUCUUGAUAUCUAACCGCGGUCCGUUAUCCGGAUCCGGGACCCUGCGUGGCGGGUAGUUUGACUGGGGCGGUCGCCUCCUAAAGCGUAACGGAGGCGCGCGAAGGUUGGCUCAGAGCGGUCGGAAAUCGCUCGUUGAGUGCAAUGGCAGAAGCCAGCCUGACUGCGAGACUGACAAGUCGAGCAGAGACGAAAGUCGGCCAUAGUGAUCCGGUGGUCCCAAGUGGGAGGGCCAUCGCUCAACGGAUAAAAGGUACGCCGGGGAUAACAGGCUGAUAC
rnacentral:rRNA from 1 species